AUUGAACGCUGGCGGCAGGCCUAACACAUGCAAGUCGAGCGGAUGACGGGAGCUUGCUCCUGGAUUCAGCGGCGGACGGGUGAGUAAUGCCUAGGAAUCUGCCUGGUAGUGGGGGACAACGUUUCGAAAGGAACGCUAAUACCGCAUACGUCCUACGGGAGAAAGCAGGGGACCUUCGGGCCUUGCGCUAUCAGAUGGGCCUAGGUCGGAUUAGCUAGUUGGUGAGGUAAUGGCUCACCAAGGCGACGAUCCGUAACUGGUCUGAGAGGAUGAUCAGUCACACUGGAACUGAGACACGGUCCAGACUCCUACGGGAGGCAGCAGUGGGGAAUAUUGGACAAUGGGCGAAAGCCUGAUCCAGCCAUGCCGCGUGUGUGAAGAAGGUCUUCGGAUUGUAAACCGCUUUUGUCAGGGAAGAAACGCUUCGGAAUAAUACUCUGAGGUAAUGACGGUACCUGAAGAAUAAGCACCGGCUAACUACGUGCCAGCAGCCGCCGUAA
rnacentral:rRNA from 1 species